rnacentral:sRNA from 1 species
AUUCUUAAGGUUGCGGGUGGUGCAGUAUUCUAGUCGGCUCUCCAAUCUCCAAAGCGGGCCUAAAAAUCCGCUAAAGGGCACAUCGAUGAAGUUUCUAGUUUUGGCUUGAGGCGCCCAGCCUUGGGUCAUGACUGGGAGUAAAGGCUGUAGGGCGAUCCACAAAGGCAUGUGGGCGUUGACCCUGCAGCCGUGGAGGCCCUGAAUGACUGGGAGCUAUCCCUGGUAACCGGACAUUCAGGGUAUGAACCUGCUUUGCAGGCUUGGGAGGUCUGUGAGCAGCGUAGCCUGCCUUGAGUGGAUCCCGAGGGGAUUACGGUUUACCCGUAUGAAAUCGGAUCUGCAAAAGAGGAUAGGGAUUGGUAAGAGCUGUUGAGGAAAACUCCUAGACUGUUCAAUUGACGUUCAAAAGGGAUUAUAGUGCGUACUGAGUGGUAAUCCAGUCUGACGAAUGGCGACAUCGUCAAGGCGGGUUUAAAGGGAAACCGUCCGGGCGGCGACGCUCGGGUACCCGCUUGGGAAAACCUACUGGACCUAAGGCGCAGUCUUUAUCUUUUGGACGACCACCCGUGUUUUUUACAUA